UCUCCCUCAUCCUCACCUCAAAUUCUUCCUCCACAAACCGUUCUAUGAUUUCUUCUUAUUCACAGUGUUCUUUCAUGCUCGCCCAUGAAUCAGUGCUUCCAUCUUAAGCAUCCAGCAAGGCAUCUCUGCUCUCUGCUCUUUUCAUCUCUUCCAUCUCUCUCUCACUAUUGCUUCUGCUCCUUCCCUUCUCUUCUUUCAAGGUUUUAUUUCGUAGAUCCCCAUUGCUGAUAAUCUUUUAUGCAAGUCUGUGUGAACGGUGUGGAGAUAUUGUGAUCACACAGGCAUCGAAGCAGCAACAGCCCCGGCCACGAUGAGGAUUCUGACCAUGCUCUUGCCACAAUACUUAAAACUCAGAGACGACCCCCCCUAAAAAAAAAAAAAAAAGGCCCCCACCUUCUGACUAGUAUAUUUCUCUGCUCCAUGGGGAGUGUUAGGUUUAAAAGAUCUGUUGUCCAUAUUGGACAAGCACUACUCCCGACAAAAUCGAAGUUCUCAACGGGCGUCUUCUCUUUCCAGGAAAUUUGAGCAUGACAAGAAGCAAUCGAAUCUGGGUUACACGUUUGUGGAUUACACAUCAGCAAGAGAUGCGUUUAUGUUUCCAGCAAUUCAACGGGCAGGAAUGGCCUGGUAACAAGAACUGGAAGCGUAGGAGGUCGGCUUAAACAUGCCGUGCUGGGUGCCAGGAAUAAUAGUGGAAAUCCUCUUCGAUGGGCAUAGUAGAAAAUUUUGUUGCUAUUUUCUUUCGGGUUAUCAUGUGUAAUGUUCAGCUCACAUGCGAAGAGGAUGCCAAAAGAAUCGAAUGGGAUUUAAGCACAUAUAUUGAGGGAGGUCCUUUGGAGAGGGGCUGAGGUUGAGUCCUGUUCACCAAAGUGUUUAUGAACUACGACAGUACCAAUACCAAGAGUCAAAAUAUGUAUGGACCCAGUUCUGGCCCUUUCACUAUUACAGUUCUCCUCUGUAUCGUUCACUUUAAAAACACUUUCAUAAUUUGUACAGCUACGAAUACGCUACUUUGACUCAUUUCCCUAUCUUUGAUAAGGAUGUUUAACAUUUUGCUAUGCCUCCCCACGUGACAGCAUUGCCUCAUGUAAGAUACACACUUGGUUAUCUCUUCUGCUUAUACAGUCUUUGAUACCUAA